GUCAGAUUGGCCGAGCGGUUUAAGGCGCUGGACUUAAGUUCUGGUUCCCACAAAGGGAGCGUGGGUUCGAACCCCACAUCUGACA
rnacentral:tRNA from 1 species